ACCAUGCAGUCGACGGUAACAGGUCUUCGGAUGCUGACGAGUGGCGAACGGGUGAGUAAUACAUCGGAACGUGCCCGAUCGUGGGGGAUAACGAGGCGAAAGCUUUGCUAAUACCGCAUACGAUCUACGGAUGACAGCGGGAGAUCUUCGGACCUCGCGCGGACGGAGCGGCCGAUGGCAGAUUAGGUAGUUGGUGGGAUAAUGGCCUACCAAGGCCGCGAUCUGUAGCUGGUUUGAGAGGACGACCAGCCACACUGGGACUGAGACACGGCCCAGACUCCUACGGGAGGCAGCAGUGGGGAAUUUUGGACAAUGGGGGCAAACCUGAUCCAGCCAUCCCGCGUGUGCGAUGAAGGGCCUUCGGGUUGUAAAGCACUUUUGGGCAGGGAAGAAAAGGCGCGGGCUAAUAUCCUGCCGCCGCUGACGGUAACCUGCAGG
rnacentral:rRNA from 1 species